ACAUUGCACGUACAGCAUAUAACGGACCAAUCACACUUUAAUUGCAAGGGAACGUCACCGUAUUACAUCAUUACAGUACAUGGCUGAUUUGUAUCUCUUUUGAAGUUGAUGAUGUGUAUUAGACCUCGGUUGUUGUUAGCAACGAUAAGUGAAAGAAAAUAACGAGCAAAUUAAAGUCCUCUCGAAGCGGACAUAUUGCCCAGUUUUGUUUCAGAGCCAGGCUCGGCUCGGCGUUUGGCAUGUCACCGGAGAAAGACGGAGGCUGCGCUUGAUGGCGGUGGCGGUGGCGUGGCGGCUCGUCAGCGGCCGUCUCCUCUGCGGCUGGGGACCGCUGCUCUGCCUGCUGCUGGGCUCCCUGCUGGCGCUGCUUUUGCCGUUGGCGGGGGUGGAGGAGCAAUGCUGCGCCUCGCUCAAGGGCCUGGCCCUCCUGCGCUGCCAGCUGUGGGGGAACGUCCUGCGCUCCGCGGUCCAGUCCACCAGUCUCUCCAUCCCCUACACGACCUUCGACCUUCUGCCCGUCCGACCCAAGGCCAGUGCGGAGUCGGAGUUUGAGGCCAAAGCCGCCCUGCAGCAGGCUAUAGAGAUGAAGAAGCAGGGGAAGAGGGAGAAGGCUCACAAGCUGCUGGUGCAUGCGCUGAACAUGAACCCCGAGUACGUGGAGGCGCUGACGGAGCUGGGGACCAUCCUGGAGGAGCAGAAGGACGUUAUCCAGGCGGACCACCUCUACACCAAGGCCCUGGCCAUCUCCCCCUGCAACGAGAAGGCGCUGGUCAGCCGGGACCGCACGCUCCCCCUGGUGGAGGAGAUCGACCAGCGCCACUUCGGCAUCAUCGACGGCAAGGUGCGCCGGCUGAUGUCCAUCCCCAAGGGCAACUCGGCCCUGCGGCGGGUGAUGGAGGAGACCUACUACCACCACAUCUACCACACGGUGGCCAUCGAGGGCAACACGCUCACCCUGUCGGAGAUCCGGCACAUCAUCGAGACGCGCUACGCCGUGCCGGGCAAGAGCCUGCAGGAGCAGAGCGAGGUCAUCGGCGUGGACGCCGCCAUGAAGUACAUCAACACCACGCUGCUCGCCCGCGUGGGCUCCGUCGCCAUCGGCGACAUCCUGGAGAUCCACCGGCGCGUCCUGGGCUACACGGACCCCGUGGAGGGCGGCCGGCUGCGCACCAGCCAGGUGUUCGUGGGCCACCACAUCCCGCCCCACCCCCGGGACCUGGAGCACCACAUGCAGGAGCUGGUGCAGUGGCUGAAUUCGGAGGAGGCGCUCAACCUCCACCCGGUGGAGUUCGCCGCCCUGGCCCACUACAAGCUGGUGUACGUGCACCCCUUCGUGGACGGCAACGGCAGGACGUCCCGGCUGCUGAUGAACCUGAUCCUGAUGAAGGCGCGCUACCCGCCCAUCACCAUCCGCAAGGAGCAGCGGGCCGAGUACUACGCCGCCCUGGACACGGCCAACGAGGGCGACGUGCGCCCCUUCAUCCGCUUCAUCGCCAAGUGCACCGAGAUGACGCUGGACACGCUGCUCAUCGCCACCACGGAGCACGCGGUGGGCCUGCCCGGGGCCAGCCACCAGCCCUGCCCCGACUGCCAGCAGACCAUCCCCAUCCACAACUGAGGCUCCGAGCCUCCACCUGCCUCAGAUAAAGAACUUCCCCAUCCACAACUGAGGCUGUGAGCCUCCACCUGCCUCAGAUAAAGAACUUCCCCAUCCACAACUGAGGCUCCAGUCCGCCUCCAUCUGCCUCGAAUAAAGAACUUGUUUUGAAAUACUGCCGGUUUCACAUACAUCCAGAACAACGCAUUUUCAGGGGGUUGUACAUUCUGACCGGUAAACAUGUUUUCAAUGAAAGUUUUCUACGAUUCUGCUGAACUCCAGAGUAUUUUGAAAUACUAGCAGUAUUUAAAGAGUUGACAAUGUUUUCCCAAGUGUGGUACAAACGCACAUGCACAGGUGCAGAUUUGCACCUCUUGGUGUUGCAGCUCUUUGGAUUUGAUCUGCCAUAUCGCUGCACUGGAGUGAACGUGGCAUCGUGUGAAAAUUCACAGUUUUCUACCGGUCAUGUUCGGAUGUGUUGAGCAAUUGGGAGAUAUUUCACAGAUAGGCUUCCGGAACAGGGACCCAUAAACAUCUGAUCAACUGAUUUGGAGGGUUAGCUUAACUCUGCCUGUCUUUGCCUGCUGUGGUUUUUUACAUAAGAGAUAAAGUCGUACAUUGGGGGUGCCCAAUCCUGUUCCUGGAAAUCUACUGUCCUGUAGGUUUUCACUCCAACCCUAACAGAAAACACCUCAUUCAACAGCUAGAGAUCUACAGUCCUGCAGCUUUUCACUCCAAUCCUAACAGAAAACACCUCAUUCAACAGCUAGAGAUCUCGUCAAGCUUCUAAUUUGUAGAAUCAGGUUUGCCAAAUUAGGGUUGAAAUGAAAACCUUCAGGACGGUUGAUAUCCGGGAACAGGGUUGGGCAGCCCUGUCGUACAGGAUGGUAGAUCUCCAGGAACAGGACUGGGCAGCCCUGUCGUACAUAAAAGGGAGCGUGAGAGUGAAGACAUUUUGUUCUGCAUGACUAUGAAACGUCUGAAAUUAAUUGAGGUUGUUCUCACGAUGAGUGUUCCACAUAUAGCUUCAAAUCAAAUCCCGAAGGAACAAGCAACUAUAAUUUUUUUUAUUUUUAUAAAAGGUCAUUCUCUUAUUAAAACUGGACUUACUGAAGCUGGGGAAAAAAUCUGGAAAAAAAGGGAAUCACCUUAUGAAGGGUCUCAAUCUCUGAAUGGUGCUAUCCCCUCCAUGUCAUACAUUUUGUCAUAAUUGUGUAAAAUCUAUCACAAUCGACUCACAAAGUUGUUAUAAAUAACUGGACAAGAAAGGCACACAAUGUUCAGCCUUUCAUACAAGGGAGACAGUUUGCCUUAAGUUUAAAUUCAGGUCAUUCCAUCAAACAUCUGAUUAUUGCCAUUUACUAAUUACAAAGAGUAACACAUGAGUACUUUAUUUUGUGUGAAUAUGGGAGUUCACCACCAGGUCUUAUAAGGGUACCUUGGUGUGAUAUGGAUGAAUUUUUUUUUUUUUUGACUGGUCCAUUGAUAUUCAGAGGCCUCCACACAAGCUUUUAUUUUCUAGUGUUGUGCCUCCCUCAUUUGUUUAAGAUCUGCGAUCUCACUGACAUGCACUUUCAUGUAUAUUUAAAAAGUAAGGGGGGAGAAGGGGGGGGGGGGUUGGCUUAUUUAUUUUAG